rnacentral:ncRNA from 1 species
AUGAUGAUACUUACACGAGAGUGUCCGGGCGAGAGCGCGGGGGUGAGAUUCCCAUGA